UUAAUUAAGUUGCGACACUUAUACAUAUACAACCACUUUUUGCUAAGAUAGUACUAAACAUGAUCAUUAAUUACACAAUAUUCUACAGCCAAACCUAUAAUAUUAACAUAAAUAGACAUAUGUUUAUAUAUUUAAUAUUCAUAUAUAAUAACAUCGAUCUCAUACAUGUCGAAGAUAUAUCUAAGACCUUUCUUCCCAACAACAUAAUUAAUCAUGACAUAAAUAAAUAGUGUAGCCAUUUUCUCUAAUAUUAUGAGAAGAAUAGCUAGAACACACUAAAAUACUAUAUACAUACAUGCUUAAGGUAUCCCGAUAAUGGGGAGAACAGGGACAUAGUAGCUAGUUGGUGCAAUUCCCCAUUCUUUUGGCAAUGGUAGAUCAAUAGUCUUAGAUGAACCAAACUCAUCAUGACAUUUUCCUUUAGCACUCUUGUUGGAUGAAGGGCAUUUUGUGUAGAACUUUAAAGGGUUAGAGAUAGUGUAGGAGUUAUCAUCUUCUUGAGACUUGACAAUAUUGGGGUCUGUUUCAAUUCUUGAAACAAAGAGCUGAUUAGGACCUCCAAGGAUCUUGGCAUAGCAUUUGUUUGGUGGAGUAGAAGGAAGUUUUGUUUCAAAAGAGCCAUCUUCUUCUGUUGUAGCCAUAGCCAAUCUUUUCACCUGACUACACUUCACUAAAACUUCUAUUCCUGAGAGAUCGUUAUGUUGACUGCAGUCUAGGCAAGUAACAGAACCCUUCAAGACAUAGCAAGACGAUAACUGAAGUGUGGCAAGAACCAAAGUGAUGAAGAGUGGAAAACCAAGCUGAUAUGAUGCCAUCUGAUUAAGCUUGUGUUAAUUAGCUAUAGCAUACAGUAUAGACUAUAGAGUGUAGUGAAAAUAAUUCUAAG
rnacentral:misc_RNA from 1 species